rnacentral:rRNA from 1 species
UUUCAAGAUUCUAAGAGCAAACGGUGGAUGCCUUGGCAUCUGGAGCCGAAGAAGGACGUAUAAAUCUGCGAUAAGCCUCGGGGAGCUGAUAAUAGAGCUUUGAUCCGAGGAUCUCCGAAUGGGGAAACCCCGCCAGGCCCUUUGGGUGACCUGGUGACUCCCGCCUGAAUAUAUAGGGCGGGUAGAGGGAACGUGGGGAAGUGAAACAUCUCAGUACCCACAGGAAGAGAAAGCAAAAGCGAUUCCGUUAGUAGUGGCGAGCGAAACCGGAAGAGGCCAAACCGAUCAUGUGUGAUAUCCGGUAGGAGUUGCAUGGUCGGGGUUGCGGGACUUUCCGUACAGUUCUACCGAGCUGUGAGGGCAAUGAGCGCGAUAUAGACGAAUGGUCUUGAAAGGCCAGUCAUAGAGGGUGCGAACCCCGUAGUCGAAAUGUCGUCGCCUGUCCGGAGAGUAUCCCAAGUAGCACGGGGCCCGAGAAAUCCCGUGUGAAUCUGUCAGGACCACCUGAUAAGCCUAAAUACUCCCAGAUGACCGAUAGCGGACAAGUACCGUGAGGGAAAGGUGAAAAGUACCCCGGGAGGGGAGUGAAAUAGUACCUGAAACCGUUUGCUUACAAACCGUUGGAGCACCCUUGUUGGUGUGACAGCGUGCCUUUUGAAGAAUGAGCCUGCGAGUUAGUGAUAUGUGGCGAGGUUAACCCGUGAGGGGCAGCCGUAGCGAAAGCGAGUCUUAAUAGGGCGUAUGAGUCGCAUGUUCUAGACCCGAAGCGAAGUGAUCUAUCCAUGGCCAGGUUGAAGCGACGGUAAGACGUCGUGGAGGACCGAACCCACUUCAGUUGAAAAUGGAGGGGAUGAGCUGUGGAUAGGGGUGAAAGGCCAAUCAAACUUCGUGAUAGCUGGUUCUCUCCGAAAUGCAUUUAGGUGCAGCGUUGCGUGUUUCUUGCCGGAGGUAGAGCUACUGGAUGGACGAUGGGCCCCAAAAGGUUACUGACUUCAGCCAAACUCCGAAUGCCGGUAAGUGAGAGCGCAGCAGUGAGACGGUGGGGGAUAAGCUUCAUCGUCGAGAGGGAAACAACCCAGACCACCAUCUAAGGUCCCUAAGCGCGUGCUAAGUGGGAAAGGAUGUGGAGUUGCAUAGACAACCAGGAGGUUGGCUUAGAAGCAGCCACCCUUGAAAGAGUGCGUAAUAGCUCACUGGUCAAGUGAUUCCGCGCCGACAAUGUAACGGGGCUCAAGCACGCCACCGAAGUUGUGGCAUUUAUAUUAUAGGCAGGCCUUCGUGGUCCAGCCGUAUGGAUGGGUAGGAGAGCGUCGUGUGGCCAGCGAAGCGGCGGUGUGAACCAGCCGUGGAGGCCACACGAGUGAGAAUGCAGGCAUGAGUAGCGAAAGACGGGUGAGAAACCCGUCCUCCGAAAGACCAAGGGUUCCAGGGCCAGGCUAAUCCGCCCUGGGUAAGUCGGGACCUAAGGCGAGGCCGACAGGCGUAGUCGAUGGACAACGGGUUGAUAUUCCCGUACCGAUGAAGAACCGCCCAAGACAAUCCAGUAAUGCUAAGUGUCUGAAUCCUUGAUUCGAUCCCUUCGGGGUGACGGUCUUGGCCUAGCACACGACCCUACGCUGGGGCGUUUAGCGUAUUAACAGGUGUGACGCAGGAAGGUAGCUGAGCCGGGCGAUGGUUGUCCCGGUCUAAGGAUGUAGGGCAGAAGAUAGGCAAAUCCGUCUUCUAUGUAGCCUGAGACCCGAUGGGUAGUCCUCACGGACGAAAUCAGUGAUCCUAUGCUGCCGAGAAAAGCAUCGACGCGAGGUUCCAAUCGCCCGUACCCCAAACCGACUCAGGUGGUCAGGUAGAGAAUACUAAGGAGAUCGAGAGAAUCGUGGUUAAGGAACUCGGCAAAAUGCCCCCGUAACUUCGGGAGAAGGGGGGCCUGAGGCGUGUAGGGAUUUACUCCUGAAGCGUUUGAAGGCCGCAGAGACCAGUGGGAAGCGACUGUUUACUAAAAACACAGGUCCGUGCUAAGUCGCAAGACGAUGUAUACGGACUGACGCCUGCCCGGUGCUGGAAGGUUAAGAGGAACGGUUAGCACGCAAGUGCGAAGCUGAGAAUUUAAGCCCCAGUAAACGGCGGUGGUAACUAUAACCAUCCUAAGGUAGCGAAAUUCCUUGUCGGGUAAGUUCCGACCUGCACGAAUGGCGUAACGACUUCCCAGCUGUCUCAACCGCGAACUCGGCGAAAUUGCACUACGAGUAAAGAUGCUCGUUACGCGCAGCAGGACGGAAAGACCCCGUGACCUUUACUACAGCUUGGUAUUGGUGUUCGGUGUGGCUUGUGUAGGAUAGGUGGGAGACUGUGAAGCUCGGACGCUAGUUCGGGUGGAGUCAUUGUUGAAAUACCACUCUGGUCACUCUGGAUAUCUAACUUCGAACCGUAAUCCGGUUCAGGGACAGUGCCUGGUGGGUAGUUUAACUGGGGCGGUUGCCUCCUAAAGAGUAACGGAGGCGCCCAAAGGUUCCCUCAACCUGGUUGGUAAUCAGGUGUCGAGUGUAAGUGCACAAGGGAGCUUGACUGUGAGACUGACAAGUCGAGCAGGGACGAAAGUCGGGACUAGUGAUCCGGCAGUGGCUUGUGGAAGCGCUGUCGCUCAACGGAUAAAAGGUACCUCGGGGAUAACAGGCUGAUCUUGCCCAAGAGUCCAUAUCGACGGCAUGGUUUGGCACCUCGAUGUCGGCUCGUCGCAUCCUGGGGCUGGAGUAGGUCCCAAGGGUUGGGCUGUUCGCCCAUUAAAGCGGUACGCGAGCUGGGUUUAGAACGUCGUGAGACAGUUCGGUCCCUAUCCGCUGCGCGCGUAGGAAAUUUGAGAAGAUCUAUCCCUAGUACGAGAGGACCGGGAUGGACGAACCUCUGGUGUGUCAGUUGUUCCGCCAGGAGCACCGCUGAUUAGCUACGUUCGGAACGGAUAACCGCUGAAAGCAUCUAAGCGGGAAGCCGGCUUCGAGAUGAGAUUUCCAUCCCUUUUAGGGUGAAGGCUCCCGGCUAGACUACCGGGUUGAUAGGCAGGAUGUGGAAGCGAGGACUAAAGACUCGCGGAGCUGACCUGUACUAAUAAGCCGAUAUCUUGAAAAC